rnacentral:rRNA from 1 species
UAGCGUAUAUUAAAGUUGUUGCAGUUAAAAAGCUCGUAGUUGGAUUUGUGGCGUACGGUGGGUUCCGGGCACUUGUUGUCUGAGUAACUUGCUGUUGCCAUCCUUGGGUGGAACCUGUGUGGCAUUAGGUUGUCGUGCAGGGGAUGCCCAUCAUUUACUGUGAAAAAAUUAGAGUGUUCAAAGCAGGCUUAUGCCGUUGAAUAUAUUAGCAUGGAAUAAUGAGAUAGGACUUUUUUGCUAUUUUGUUGGUUUGCGCAAAGAGGUAAUGAUUAAUAGGGACAGUUGGGGGUAUUCGUAUUCCAUUGUCAGAGGUGAAAUUCUUGGAUUUCUGGAAGACGAACUACUGCGAAAGCAUUUACCAAGGAUGUUUUCAUUAAUCAAGAACGAAAGUUAGGGGAUCGAAGAUGAUU